GAUGAACGCUGGCGGCGUGCCUAAUACAUGCAAGUCGAGCGAACGUACGAGAAACUUGCUUCUCUGAUGUUAGCGGCGGACAGGUUAGUAACACGUGUAUAACCUACCUCUAAGACUGUGAUAACUUCGGCAAACCGUAGCUAAUACCGGAUGAUAUUUUGCACCGCAUGGUUCAAAAGUGAAAGACGGUCUUGCUGUCACUUAUCGAUGUAUCUGCGCUGCAUUAGCUAGUUGGUAAGGUAACGGCUUACCAAUGCAACGCUUCAUAGCAAAACUGAGAUGGUGCCACGAGCAAGUGCAAAUGAGACACGGUCAGGAAUAGCACGGAAGGCAGAAGAAGGCAAUUUUGCGGCAGGGGACAAAGAAUGACGGAGAAAAGCCGAGUCAGUGAUGAAGGUCUUCGGAUCGUAAAACUCUGUUAUUAGGGAAGAACAAAUGUGUAAGCAAAAGUGCAAAUGUUGACGGUACCUAAACAGAAAGCAACGGCCAACUACGUG
rnacentral:rRNA from 1 species